UGCGCGCGCGCAGCGGUCGGCGCCCCGCGUGCGCGGUGCACCUUGGUUUUACAACAGCUCAAUACGGGACUAAGAAUAUUAGGCACGAGUUACACUUGGACGGAGUUCAUAAGUAUAACCUUACAGUGACCUUCAAAUGCGUCGACACGAGGUGGAAGGGACAGUGUGGCGAAAGUGCUUUCAGCUUGACAAGGAGUUGAAAGGUGGUCACGACACCCCGCGAGUGCUCGUGAUAUACUUUUUCAGAAGUUACAUUACCAGUAAGAUAUUUGGGUGUUUAGAUGAGUUGGGAACAAGAGGAAGAGAAACAAUUGGUGCCAUUAUUAGAAGAAGUAAUUCUGUAGUGGAGAGCAAUGCCAGAAUGGAGGAAGAUUUUAUUCAAGAAUCUAAUCAUGAUUCUUUGUCAGCACAGGAUGCUUCAGCAGUUGAAGAGUCUAAAGUAGAUGAGGCUGGAUUUGAGGGUCCUGGAUACGUCUGGCAUCAAUGAAAAUGUUAUCUACAGUUGGAAUAUGGCGCAAUCGCAAGGUAGCAUGAAAAGGUCUGAGUUUGUGGAAUCAUUGGGUUUGAGCAAAUGAGUAUGCUUCAAGGCCACCUUGAAAAAAGAUAUGUACAACCAGGGUUGCCCAAAGCACUCAAGAUGACGUUGAAUGCUCCUGGACCAAGCACGGAAUGAAUGUCACAAUUAAAAAAAGCAAUGAUGUAUAAGUAAAGACACCAUAACCUUGAGUCACUGUAAUUUUCGUAAAAAAAUUAUGUGCCAAAAACAUAUGAAGUUAAUUUUCAGUUCCUGUUCGGAAAAAUUAGAAAAUUUCAUUUUAUUUAGUUAAUUAGACUUUAGAUUUACGAUUUUGAAUGAGAAAGUUUAUGUGAAAA